GGGUCAGUAGGUUGGUCGUGCCACCGGUACGUACUGGUCUCAAUGAUUCCUCCUUCCUGAAGAACCGUAAUGCCAUUAAUUUGGUGUUGCGGGGAAACAGGACUGUUACUUUGAAAAAAUUAGAGUGUUUAAAGCAAUCUAACGCUUGAAUACAUUAGCAUGGAAUAAUGAAAUAGGACGAUCGAUCCUAUUUUGUUGGUUUCUAGGAUUGACGUA
rnacentral:rRNA from 1 species